rnacentral:rRNA from 1 species
CCUACGGGUGGCAGCAGUGGGGAAUAUUGCACAAUGGGGGAAACCCUGAUGCAGCGACGCCGCGUGAGUGAGGAAGUAUUUCGGUAUGUAAAGCUCUAUCAGCAGGGAAGAAAAUGACGGUACCUGACUAAGAAGCCCCGGCUAACUACGUGCCAGCAGCCGCGGUAAUACGUAGGGGGCAAGCGUUAUCCGGAUUUACUGGGUGUAAAGGGAGCGUAGACGGCUAAUCAAGUCAGGAGUGAAAACCCAUGGCUCAACCGUGGGACUGCUUUUGAAACUGGGUAGCUGGAGUGCAGGAGAGGUAAGCGGAAUUCCUAGUGUAGCGGUGAAAUGCGUAGAUAUUAGGAGGAACACCAGUGGCGAAGGCGGCUUACUGGACUGUAACUGACGUUGAGGCUCGAAAGCGUGGGGAGCAAACAGGAUUAGAUACCCCAGUAGUC